rnacentral:lncRNA from 1 species
UUUGAUCUUAUUCGUUACCGACUCGUAGCGCAGCGGGAAGUAGAGUCGAUGACGAACGGCGGUGCAGAUCCCCGCAGGUAGGAUUUACAACCUCCCAACCGCGAGGAUGUAUACCCUCAUCUUCUCCUCAGACAGCCCUCCGGGAGGCGGUCGAACAGCCCUCCGGACGGUGUCGCGGACAGCCCUCCGGGAGGACCUUCGGAACUCGAACGGUCACUCGGACAGCCCUUCGGGAGGACCUUCUAAACUCGGACGGUCACAUGGACAGCCCUUAGGGAGGCACUCACGAACUAAGACCGAAACUACGAUCUCUCUACAGAGUUGCACACAUACGGUGUCAUCUAUCCGGCAGGGCUUCGCCGUCCAGAACUAGUUCCUGCCGGAACCCAGACAGCCUUUCGGCUCUAUGAAACUAUUUCGCUGGGAGGGAGAGAAGAAGCCAGAUCAUUGCAUGGCACUUGUAUGAGAGCAAAGGGAUGGAUGUGGAGGGCUGCCCCUCCACCUCUAUUUAUAGGAAAUCCCAAGGGGUAGGGUAAUUUAACACAAAAACCCAAAAUGCACAUGAAUGAAGUCCUUCCUCAAGGGCAUAAGAGUGAAACCAAGAAACAAGAGGGUCCCCAAGGGGGGAUACCCCAUGUGGCCGGCCACACCCCCAUGAGGGGCCCAAAAAAUGGCUCCUAUCCAUCCAUGUCAUCCCCAAGAUCUUUUGGAGCAAAGCCCCAAAAGGUGGCUUUCCAUAAAAUAACCCAAAAAGCACUUUCACUAUUCACGACGACAUUUUUCAGCGUCCGUUCGAACUGAAAAUAUUUAUGUGGGCUUAGAACAUUUCCAAUACCCACCAUAAUAAUUUUCAACGCGUUCUGGAACAAUUCCAUUUUAGUGAUUUUCAUCUGCGAAACGCAUCUGAAGUGGUUCCGGCAGCUCCGAAACAUUUCCGGUUUUUAUCUCAGAAAAUUCCAAAAAGCUUCCAGAAUGAUUCUGGCACCCUUCAAGAAUUAUCAGGCAUUUGCCGAAACCAAAUUGACUUAAUGGUAUAUACCGAAACAACUUUUCGGUAUCAUCGAAACUCAUCCGAUAACCUCUCUCUGCGGUACGAUUCCGCUGUCCGAAACUUUUCCGGUGUCCGAAACUUUUUCGGUGAUUUUCUCUCAGACUCUCUGUCUAGAAUUCAACAGAUAGAUGACCCUUAAGCGUGUGACCCUAUAGGUUCGGUGAAGUAUAGACAUGACCCGGAACCCCUUCCGAUCAAUGAUCAACAUCGGAGCCGUGGACACCCAUAUUGACCCCUAUACCCACACGAAUGAAUAUUCGAGUGAACCUCCAGUUGCCGUGUGCUAUUCCUGUUGCUUCGCGAUAUGUUACAAAGACCCAAGGUGAAAUUUACUUGCAUCCCCGUGGAUCAACAACUUGUCCACUAUGCUAGUUACCUCGUUACUGGUUUUGUUCUCUUUUCUCGUUUCCGUGUUCCGGCAUCCCUGUGAUCAAAUCACACUGUGUCUGGCCAGACGAUGAUGGAUACCGUAACACCGAGAGGGCCCAAGAAUAUCUCUCCAUUGUCGGAGGAGCAAAUCCCAAUCUUGAGCUAUCAAGUUACUUGACACACUUUUCCAUGAACCUGUAAGCCGCCGUAAUAGCCACCCAUUUACGGAUGACGUUUAACAAACCCCAAAGUUCAUGAAGCAAGCAUGAAGAAACUCGAUACUCUCAUGGUCUAAGGAAUCAUGCAAACGUUAACCAUCUCUGUGUUAUUUACCAUUAACUUGUGACGAAUGAAUCUCAUAGCAUAACAUCAAACCGGGUCGAUUCAACACAAAUGAUCUCUUAACAUUGUGCCCUCAAAGUUGCUGGCAUAGAGAUGCCCAUGAUCAGGAAAACAAAACCAUCAUGCAACACUUGAGCUAGUCUUAGAGGCUAGACUAGGAAUACUUCUUACCGUUUAUUAUUCCACACGUGCAUAUGAGUCUUCCUCCGAGCCUCGUGGAUAUUGCAGACUCGAGAAUCAUUGCAGUUAUAGCAUGGAACAUAAACAUAAUUAUGAACUCAGAGAUAAAUAAUAUCAUUUAUUAUUGCCUCUAGGGCAUAUCUCCUACAGACUCCCACUUGCACUAGAGUCAAUAAUCUAGUUAAUGCUAAUGCACUUUACACCUAUGGUAUACCGGUGUAAAAAAUGCUUCGCAUGUGGUAUAGCCUGAUGUCCAUCAGAUCUGACAACUUCAGCUCCGUGUCUAUCUCUGCAUAUCCUCGCGUUUUCACGCUUUCACAAAAUUCAUAUUUUGUGCGGACUUGGCUUUGUAUAAAUGUGAAUCACAGGUUGAACCUGGAUUCCUCAGACUGAGUUAUGGAGAAACUACCUGCAGUAGUGUCCCAUUGACAAAAGUCAUCUUGGAACCAUACUAAUUUCAUGAAUGAACUAUAUGAUUCAACAUCUUCUUUGUCGCUUUGAAAGCGUCAACAUACUUAGCCUUUGUUAUAGAAUUCGGCACAGUAACUUGUUUGGAACAUUUUCCAACAAACUGUGCCACCACAUUGUGUGCAACACAGAACCCUUAAUUUAAAUCAAAAAUCGCAUGGAGCAUUGAUGAAGACUGUAUCGAUGUAAUUACUUACAAUGAGCUCUUCAUAAUCUCUUAUUGCGAGAAAACAUGUCAUCAGUACUACUCUGGUACUAAAUGACAUCUUUCACUGUUGUCCUAUGAUCAGUACUUUUGAUCACUUUGGUAUCCAUACUCGCAACACCUUUGGAGUAUCGGACAUAUCUGGUUGUUUUACAUACCAUGGAAUACAUGAUUAAUCCAAACACAAGAGUGUGUGGAAUCUCCAUCAUGUAUUUUACUCAUCAGUGUUUUGGGACACCGAAUCUUGCAAAAACUCUUUCCAUGUGACUUCGACAAGAAUCACUCCUUGGCGUUUUUAAAUGCUAAAAGAUUUUAGCAUCUUGUCAAUAUGUAUUCAUAGCUUAGCCCCAUUAGGUAAAUCUAUCUCCAUAGAUCAUCAUGCCUAAUACCAAGGCUAUUUAGCCUAAGCACUUCAUCGAAAAACUAUUUUCAAAUGAAGUCCUAAUUCGUGUCAAGAAAUUUAUUUCCAAUUACCAAUGUGUCAAGCACAUAAGUUUUUUAGAAAUAUUAUUGCGCUCCCACUUACUUUCUUGAAUUACAAGCAUCUUCGUUACCCAUUGAUGAAGUCAAAACCCCUUUUGACCAUUUCAUCAAAACACGAAGAUUCCAACUCCAUUUUGCUCUCUUCUGUCCAUCGCUGGAUCUUUCAAGUUUGCAUAUUUACUAGCAUCCUCUGGAUCGAUAAAUUACUUUGGACUAUAUCACAUACAAGUCCUAGGUUUUAUUUCCAUAAGAUGGAAAUCCUUUUAUCAUCCAUGUUUCAUAUCUCAUGAUUGAAAUAUGUAUUAAUUGCUAAUUCAACCCGAACCGACUUUAAGCAUCGCUACGAUGAAACAACCUCAUCGUAGUCAACGCCUUGAACUUGUUAUUGCAACAAGUCGAGCUUUAUGAAUAAAACAUUUUUAUCCAUAUCAGUUUUAAGUUCCAUAAAUAUUCGUUAGACUCUAAGUCUUCCAAAAGGUGUAUCAAGGUUUUAAUCUUGAAUCACUUAUAUGAAAACUAACUCGGGUUGUAUUGGCAUUUAGCCAAUUCCGGAGUCAGGGCCCAUCAACGCUUACUUGUGUAUCGUAGGUAUACUGUUGUCCAACAACAAUAUCUCGUCUGCGCACCUGAGAGGUUUGCACGAGCCUUGCCUACGUGGUUCAGAUGCAAGUUCGACCGAAGUCCAUACAUUUUAUUGUAGAGACUUCCGUAUCAGUCGCAGUAGGAAACUCUGGAAUUACUUCCAAGGUUCCUUUCCUUUGACCUGAUUGACAAAGAUACUGUUAUCUCGUCGAGUUUGCACUGUCCUCCCACUCACCCUUUUUGAAAGAACCAUUCUCUUUAAAAGCAUACCGUUUCGUGGCAAAACUAUUUGCCUCGGUAUAGUGAGGGAGGAGUACCCAAUGACUUGGGAUAACCUACAAAGUAGCACUUGUCUGAUUUGGAAUAGGUCUGUAACCUUUACACAAACCCCAUAUUCCAAAUGUUUAAGAAAAGAUAUAACAUGGUUGGGCGUACCAUACCAUGGUGUCAUUUCAACAGACCCGACGGAGCUCUUUUCAGUGUAAAAGCCGCAGUCUCUAAAGCAUCACUCUUUAAAAGGGAUAAUGGCAAUUUUAUUUAUGUCAUCUUUGAUCUUACCAUGUCAUAAAUGGUUUGAUUACAUCUCCACGGACUUUCCAUUUGCAGUGGUGUUCCGGGAGGUGCAAGUUUAUGAAACCCCUUUCACAACUCAUCAGACAUUCGCUAAACUUGUAACUCAAAUAUUCCUUUCUGCAAUCAAAUUGUAGAAACGUAAUUUUCUUGUUACAAUAACUUCUACUUCAUUUUUGAAAACCUUUCGAAUGAUUUCAAAAGAUCCAGACUUACGUCUCAUCAAGUAAAUAUCCAUAUAUCUACUUGAGUCAUUUCUGAAGAUAGAUAAAUCCACUACUAACAACACUUAUCGGACUACACACAUCAAAUGUAUGAUCACCAAUAAGUUUGUUGUUCGUUCUUUAUUGCCUGUGAACGGUAUUUCAGUCACUUCACCUUUCGGAGGAAAGUUGCAAGUGUCAGAUGAUUCAAAAUCAAACGACUUCAAAAUCCAUCAUAAUGGAAUUUUCCAUGCGGGUUUCCCCAAAUGUGACCAAAUGUAGUGCCACACUUGUGUGGUAUUCUUUUAGUCUUGUGACAUUUAGUGUCAGUGUUAUGGAUGUAUCAUAUUACCAUCAAUAUUCAUAACAUACAUCCCAUCUUGGAUGGAAGCAUGGCCCUUCAUGUUAUUCAUAAUACUGAACAACAAUUGUUGUUUUUAUGAAUAACCUCUCUUGCAAAAACAUUGUGCAAUGGGCUAGAGUGUAUGAAACUCUAAAAUGAAUUAUGAAAAUAAACCUAGAGGUAAUGUAUUAUUAUCAAUAUUCAUAACAUACAUCUCAUUCAUAAUGAAAGUAUGGCCCUUAUGUUAUUCAUAACACCGAACAUGAAAAGUUCUCUUAUGAACAACCUUCUUGCAAGAUACCUUAUGCAAUGGGCUAGAGUGUGAAACUCUAAAUGAAUUAUGAAAAUAAAUACAGACGGUAAUACACCAAUGGAAAGUAUAGUAACAUUUACUAUGUUCCCUGUGUAUACCUAAACCUCAUUCCUGGCUAGUCUUUCAGGCCAUAGCAGUUCUUACAUCGAGUUGCAACAGAAUGCAAUCGAGUGGGUAUCUUUGUGAUUAACUCACAAUACCCAAGAAUUAGUGAUUAACAUGUUUAACCAUAAUUCGCAAGAACUAUAUCUUUGACCAGCCUACUAUACAUCAAAAACUUGUAUGACAUUCAUACAUGAGCUGGAUAUUCCAGACUUCUUUUCUUUUUGCCAUUUUACUUCUAACAGUUUAACUUUUAGUAUUUCUCCUACUUCCAGAAAAAGAAUCCAACUUCAUCAUAUGAAAGGCUUUCUUCUGGAUCCCUCUCUUAUCAGUCAAAUGCCUAGUAAACACUUUUACUAACAGUUUGCAAAAAAACAUUGCUUUGGAUAUCACAUAUCUGUUAGCCUUUGUUUGUGCCUGAAAAUGAUUUUCAGAUUCCAUGAAUAUCACAUAACUAUCCAAACCUUCGAAGUUCGGGUCUCAUGGAAGCAAACAUAUUGCACUUGACUGAAAACGAAAUUCUAGCUUUUGGAUCGAAGGACGAGAGUCACAUGAUCCAUAGCAUUAGCGGGAGAAUACCGAAAGUAUGCGAUAGGACAAAGUCCUUCUCGGCACUCUUGAGGACAAUCCUCGCAUUACGUUACCAACCGUAAAGUUUUAACCAGAUAUUUAACAGCUAUUCAAUUUUAAUAGGGAAGGUGGAAACGCGAGCCAUUAUUCUAUAACUAUUAGCAAGAAACACUUAGACAGUGUUCAUAAUUAAUUGCACUGAGAAUUAAACAUGUUAAUUCAACAGUGCGCUCCCACUCAAAUCAAUAUCUCUCAUAAUUAAUUUUGAGUGAUACAAGAUCCAGAUUUCAACUCAUCGCCAUAGAAUCAUCAUCUCAUAACGGGAAUUUUAAUCGGUAGGCCAACUUGCCGAUCACAUCUCUAUGUGACUCUUGCUCAUCUUUCGAUGCGUGUGUUCCGAGCUCAGGACGAUCCUGCCAUGAACGUCAAGACAACCAAGUGAUCUUGCUGCGAGGUCUGACCUCACCCGCCUCACACUUCUCUAAUCGUUCGUACCCAUGCAUCCAUGGCGCACCCCGAAAAGAUAGGUGCCGUGACGGUGCUACACUUGGGAGAACACUAACUACUUGAUAUUUUAGUGAGAGAUCACCCUAAUAAAAAGCGACUACCACGCAAUCAAGAAGGGUGCAUCAUAAGGGAUAAACAUCUUAGGCAAUUCAUAAUAGCAUGAUAUGGUAUAGCCCUUUCUGACGGAGAAGUCUUUCAUUUCUUCGUCUUGGGCAUUCGCGUCGGUGUUCACCUUCGUGAAGAUUGCCACCACCUUGUCGAUGCACCAAAUAAUAUUGCUAUCUCUAUAGCUAAUAAAAUAAGUGCAUUACUUAAGGUUGACACGCAGGUCACUAAAGUGACAAUCAUAUGGCUCCAGCCAUCAUGCCGAAUCAUGACACGCAGGUCAUGUUAAUCAAUUUACAUCAUAUAGUCAUCUCAUACAUAAUCAAAUUGAAUAUGAGCAUUGCUAUACCACAUCACAUGCACAUGCAAACCCUCCUGCAAAACCAAGUUAGACGUUUCUAAUUGGUUCAUGCAAACUUGUUUUUCAUGGCUUCUAAGGUUUCGACUUAAACCACAGCUACCAACGUUUUAUCAUCAAGUAUGAUUAUUCAAGUUGCUAGAUUAACAUCUCGGGGUGUAUGAAACACGAGAUAAUUAAAUCUCGAGCCCCAUACUAAACUUCGUCAUACGCAUGACCCCCGUGCAGAUCAUAUCUGCAAUGCCCUUUCAUCUGCGAAUUUCAUCUUUCUUUUGACUACGGUAGAACCCAAAGAACUGAUAGCACUUCCAUGAUCAAUCAGGAUCACGGAUUGCCAGAACUUUGUGAAAUUCCACCAUGCUAUCUCGAGAUUGAGCAAACGCAAAUUCUAGGGAAGCAACAAGAACGUCGGGUAACAGAUUUCAUCUGUCACCCGCAUAAAUAAUUUUCAGCAAUAGAUCUCAUCUACUCCAAAAUUAUAUUAUGCAAUACCCAUACAUCUCCAUGUAUUUUAGAUCGUAACCUGCAUCUACGCAUAGCACGGCUCUUGAUGCCACUGUUGGGGAACGCAGUAGAAAACAAAAAUUUUCCGACCUACGCACCAGCCCAGGACCACUAUGGAGACUGCAUACAUGGUUUGAUCUUAUUCGUUACCGACUCGUAGUGCAGCGGGAAGUAGAGUCGAUGACGAACGGCGGUGCAGAUCCCCGCAGCUAGGAUUUACAACCUCCCAACCGCGAGGAUGUAUACCCUCAUCUUCUCCUCAGACAGCCCUCCGGGAGGCGGUCGAACAGCCCUCCGGACGGUGUCGCGGACAGCCCUCCGGGAGGACCUUCGGAACUCGAACGGUCACUCGGACAGCCCUUCGGGAGGACCUUCAAAACUCGGACGGUCACAUGGAC